UGUGGUGUGUGCCUGGUCUCAGACCUAUCCCAAGAUCGGAAAUAAUGAGCUCUGAGCUCGCUCCGUAGGGUAACGUCUGGCUGUCUCGUCAGAGACUGCAGCAGAUCAAACAGUGAAUACACACAUAUCAGUCAUUCUUCAGCUACAACAUAUAUGAACAUAUCUUUACUGUUGUACUUGUAUGUGUGAAUGGAUAUAGCAUGGGGUCACGUAUGUUUAUUUUAAAUGUUAAUAUUUGAAAGGGUUGGUGAAUAUGUGUAAUGUAGUCCAGCUUUAGAUAGUCAUGAUUGUCACCAUGAGACUGUGUCACAGGGAAGAUUGGAAGAAAUGACUGUGCACAGCAAAUUCCAAAUUAGGAGUACAUAUUGAAAUAUUCCUUUGGUCCCCCACAUAUUUGUAGUAUUAUUUUUUUUUUAUACACAAGUACUUUGUACACACACAACAUUAUGUAUGUGUUAUGUUUACUUUGACACUUGAGAAGUAUUAGUUUAGCAGGAAGACAUGACCCAUUCUGUGCAUAGCAGAGUCACUUAGCGGCUCGUGGGCUGCUAUCCGGCAUGACGUCCUCAGACCUAAUGCUAGUGACAGCAGCACACCUGUCACUGACAGGAGGGGUCAGUGCACUGAAACUACCUCAAAGAUGAAGCAUGUAGCAUGUAUUUCAUCUAGUCUGUGAGACCCAUUGGGCCAAAUUAAUAAUAAGUGAUGAAGACAGCGGAUUAUCAUUCACAAAGCUUUUGAUGAUGUUCCCUAUGGUGAACAGGUACUUUUCAUAGUGAAAAUAUAUUGAUGUACUAUUGAUGUUGCACAUGGUAAUGAGCAUAUACAAAGCAUUAUUUGCUUCAGUUGUAUGAAGGAUAUGUCAACCAUGCAGUACAGUUAACUUCAGUUGUAUGAAGAUUACUUACGUUGAAUACUAUAUAAACUCUCACUGAGUGUGGCAUAUAAGGCUGAAAUGAUGUUAUAGGAUAUUUUUAACUUGAGUUUAACUUUCUUAAAAAUGUUGAAAGAUACUUUGGUGUUAAGGUAAAUUAUAUAGUUCGUCACAUAGAAAUAUUAUGGUUCCCAAACAAUUUGCUGUUUGACAAGUUCUCUGUCAGUCUUUUGUAGUGUUUCUGACUUUCUGCAUAGCCUGCCUCAGAACACCUCUCGGAAGUGCACUGUGGCUCUUUGUGGCGGUGCACUCACGGGACGGAAUCUAGGGCACAGUUUGUAGGAAAAUAAUGACACACAUACUGGUAAGGCAAAACAGGGACCUGGGUGCAGUGAGUGGGUGAGUUGGUUAGUGGUAUGCUGUGGGGUGUAGUGUGGGGUGGGUGGUGCCAGUCACUGUUGUUAGAGGCCACUCCUCCACUUGGUUGACUAUUGAUAAGCAGCAUCUCCCUAGUGAAGGUAUUAUGUAUCUCAUCUGUAGAAUACUAUCUUGUAAACAGUGUUACAUUGAUAUGUAUAAGAACAAAACAUGUUGAUCAAUCUUUACUAUCUGUUCAAAUUAUAUUUUUUUGUAAAUGAGCCAGAUUAUGGGUACAUUUUAGAGUAUGAGCCAGAAUAACUAUUAUGGGUAUAUUACAAAGUAUUCAUUGUAUCACAUCAAUGUUAAAAUUUCCUUUCAUGAAUGUUUUCUGCAAUAUUGUAGUAUUCCAUGUUUUCAGAAAUUGUUUAAUAGUUUACACAAGCACAAUUCCAGGCUGCAUAGAUUGUGUAAAAUAACUCAAUAUUACAGAAAACGGAAUAAUUUGACAAUUUUCCUUUUCAACAAUUCUAUUUUGUAUUAUGGAAUUCAUGUUUACAAAUGUCUACUUAUCAAAAAGCAAAGGGGUUGUCCAGCUGCUCCUGAACUCAAAAUGUUAAUGUAUUCCCCGCAAAAGCCACAGAGUGCUAUGCAAGGGUCAUUUGGGCGCAGUGUGAAGGCUGAGACACAGCACAGGUGUUACUUGUACUUUACUGGAGUAUAAGAAAGAAUACCAAGACCAAUGCCAAGCAAAGGUCUUUUUAUUUUAAUUCUAAAAUUGUUGCUUUAUUUUCAUUGAGUGUUGACCAGCAAAUUUCUGCCAUGGUAGAUGUAAUAACUCAGAAUCAAUUCUUGGGAGAGGUUGUAAGGUUAUCAUUAGUAACAAUAUGUAUACUGAAGUCAGUAAAAACUUUAAACAUUUGACAUCCUAAACACUGUGCUGGGAUUGUCUUGUUCUUGCUGUGUUCCACCAACAGAAGUACAGGACAAGGUUGUACAUGAGGCUUUAUACAUAUCAACUGAACAAAAUAACCAGAUGACUGGUUGGGUGUUGAUCCGUGUCCAGAGUACAAUAAUAGUGUGGAUAUGAAAGCACAGCACUCUGGGAUGAAGUUGGCUCCUUGCCAUUCACUGCUGUCUGUGUGGUAUUGUGAGAAAUAUUUGCAGUAAACUUUAGAAAAGGUCUUUUUAUUUUAAUUCUAAAAUUGUUGCUUUAUUUUCAUUGAGUGUUGACCAGCAAAUUUCUGCCAUGGUAGAUGUAAUAACUCAGAAUCAAUUCUUGGGAGAGGUUGUAAGGUUAUCAUUAGUAACAAUAUGUAUACUGAAGUCAGUAAAAACUUUAAACAUUUGACAUCCUAAACACUGUGCUGGGAUUGUCUUGUUCUUGCUGUGUUCCACCAACAGAAGUACAGGACAAGGUUGUACAUGAGGCUUUAUACAUAUCAACUGAACAAAAUAACCAGAUGACUGGUUGGGUGUUGAUCCGUGUCCAGAGUACAAUAAUAGUGUGGAUAUGAAAGCACAGCACUCUGGGAUGAAGUUGGCUCCUUGCCAUUCACUGCUGUCUGUGUGGUAUUGUGAGAAAUAUUUGCAGUAAACUUUAGAAAAUUGUGGUUUCCGUGGGAAUUAUAGCUUUUAGUUUAUAAACAUACAUAUAUCUAUAUUCAUUUUUAUUUAAAGUGGAAUUAUAUUUAUGAUAAUAUUGUACCUCAUAUUUUUUUAACAUUUAAAGUAAAAGUUAUAUUUAUUAUGGAAAUUAUACUGGUGAACUUGUGUGCUAAUAUGUAAGAAACAUGUAUAUAAAAUGAAAACAUUAAUGUUAUUGCUUAGUAUAAAGAUAACUGAUGGGCAAUUAUUUGUAUGUAUGUACAUCUGAUGUGCAUGACACAUGUAUGUACGUACUGCAUUAUGAUUCAGGAUGUAGCUUUGACAAUUGGUUUGUCUUAGGAUACUUUAUUUGUUUUACUGAGUGUAAUGUUUGGAGCUAAUAAUAAAUUACACUAUAUGCAAGUAAACAUAUUGUAAAAUUAAUCAUUAAUUUAAACUAAUUGCGACAUAGUUUCAAAUUUGGUAAUUAUCAUGAAAUUGUUUUUAUGAUGCAUUCAUACCUCAGAAUUGCCAUUAAUCUAAAUUACCAUUAUUCAGUUGUUGAUGAUUACUUUGCACAUCUGGCUACAGUUUUAUAUACAUCCAUGAGUCAUUCAUUAAUUUGUUAGAAACUUUGGAUUGGUGCUAAAGUUACAUUUAUUGAGUCAUGAUAAAUGAGUGAAGGGAUUCACUGAUGAUAAGACACUGGGAGGCCUUUCAGUAUGUUACCUAUGUUGUGCAGAAACUCACUUUUAGGGUGCUCAAUUUUUCAUUCAGAGUGCAAAGUAAAAGAAAAGAGGAGUAACUAUACACUGUACAGUCAGUGUACAUCUGUAUUAUAUUCCUGUUCUAGUUACCAUUUUGCUCUGAUUAUUUCUGUCAUUGUAACUCCUCAAGCAUGUGUGAGUCGGAGGGAGAAAGAGUCAGGUAUUGAAUAACACUGCAAUGCCUACGUAUAUGCUAUAUUUUUUUGGUAUAUGUUAACAUUUUAAUGUUGUAUGUAGUUGAUCUGGAGCUUUGUUGUGAUAAUGUUGGUGAGACUAAGGUUUGGGUGUCAGACUCUUGAGUGUUGUGGUUGUACACUGCUAACAGAACAAACAGCUUCCUAGUUGCCAAAACUUAGCAAAUACAGUGUGUAAAUAUCGUGUUAACCUCUACCUCCUCCUGAGUUCCCGGUCUGGUGUAGCGUAGGCGCAGUGAGGCUCCCACAGCGGUGCCUUGGCUGUGGUGUUUAGUUGGUGUCAACACAAAAUUGUAGCAAAUAUACAUCAGAAAUAUAUUUUUGACCCAGUUGAAGGAGAGUUAUAUAUGCCAUGUACCACACUAAUUGUAAUAAUGCCUGACAAGUAGUGUUUCCAGCAAUUAUUUUUCCAGGACAACACUUCCUUCUCAGCCAUGCACAAUGCACUCAUGAUACUGAAGUCACUGGGUAGCUGUAUGCCUUCAUCAAGGUGUAUACUCCCUCUUGACAGACAAUACUUAAUUAAAAUGCAGACAAAAACCUGAAUCACUUAAUUCCAGAACUCCCAAUUAGGUUCUGAUAAAGUGUUCACCAGAAAUUGGCAUUUCUAACAGCAGUAUCAUGGGUUCUUGUCAAGCCAACACUGUCCCUCUCCUCUUCAGUAGAUCCAACCCUACUGUUCUUUUGUGAUCAUUACUUCUUGCUGAAUUGUACUAAGAGUAUUACAAUAGAGUGGCACUUGUAAAGCACCUUUGUCUUUACAUUUGUUAAUAUGAUAUAAAGCAAGUAAUUAUUUUUUGAAUGUGGGCAUAUUUCUGUACAAAGAAAUAUCUUAAUGAUCUUGUAACAAUUAAGAAAUGUAGUCUAUAUGAUGUAUAAUAUCACAAAGUUUGAUGCCAACAACCAUAUCUGUAAAACCACAGGAAAAAAACUAAAAGACUAUAAUAUGCACACAUACUCUGAUUUCUUAUUUAUCUUAUUUUUGUGAAGAUUUUCAUUGUAAGUGCAAAGAACAUUUUUUUUUUUCCAUAGGUUUGUGUAAUCCACAGUACAUUGAUCAUAUUCAAAGUUGUUCUAAUGAAGCAUGUAAACUCUAUUCUUGUAAGUAUUUUGGUCAAGAUCCUGUGUUUAGUGAUUCAAGAGAAGAAAUAGAGAACAUUAGAGGUAUUCAAUAUUCUUAUCAAAGAGUUUCUGUGUCUCAGUAUCACAUAUAUUUUUAUAUAAACUAAUUUUUAAGUACCAAGAAUCACCCAUGUGAGGGUUGUGUCCGCAAGCCACUCACAGCCUGGCUUGUGGGCAACUAAUCAUACAUAACAAGGUACUAACACUGAGGAGCUUACAACACCUCUCACGUGAGGAAAACAUAGUGAAUUUCUUGCCAUCUGUUUGUAACUCUAGCAAAUCAUUACAGUUCACCCAUGUUUCCACUUGUUAAAUGCCUUAUUUGUUAAAGACCAAAUCCUUAUGUCACAAUAUUACUAUUGAUGUAAUAAAAAUAUCAAAUAAC